AAGCAGCAGCGGCGGCGGCGGCAGCAGCAGCAGUUCUAGGGAAGCAGUAGAAAAGAACAUGCCUUCUUUCAUCUUUUAGAAGCCCCUCAAAGCCCCCAAAUACACCACUCUAAGAGGCAGCCCGGGAGUCCGAGUUUCAAGAAAUCCAUGACACCCUGUAGAUUGUCAACAACCCAUCCAGCUCCCAAGUCCCCAGUUCAUCUGGAACGACCUCCAGGAAUUGAUGCAGAGUGAAAGGAGCAGAACCAGGAGAACAUUGUACACAGAGACCGAUACAUUAUGGCACAACCUAACAUAAUGGACUUCUCUACUAGCAGCAAGGCAAUGAUCCAGGACAAUCCUGAGGGACUUUUGAGAAAGAUGCUCUCCACAUCCAGAGAAAGAACUGUGGGAGCGGAAACACAGAAGAAAAACAACUGCUUGAUCACAUGGUUCAUUGAGGAUAUAAUUGGGGAUGUAGCCUCUAAAUGAUCACCAUAGUGCAAAUAUCAAUAAUAGGGGACUAGGUGAUCAAUGAUACCUGUAAAACCUAGUGGAAUUGAGCAUCGGUUAAAGGGGGGGGAGGUGAGGGGAUAGGAGGGAAAGAACAUGAUUCUUGUAACCAUGGAAACAUAUUCUAAAUUAACUAAUUAAAUAAAAU